AUGAAACACAAGUCGGCGGAUUGUGCUGGCGCCUCAAAGCGCAUGUGCACGUCUGUCGCAAAUCCACACACCUGUGCACUAUAGACUCUGAGCGAGCGGCUGUUUGGCUGCACCUCGGAGUAUUUUACACACGCUGAAUGUAAAAGGAUGAUGUCGUGCUUUGCACAAAAAAACAUA
rnacentral:misc_RNA from 1 species